GCCUUUUUCUUUGUACCAGCAUGUUAUGUGUCUCUAGCUGUCUGUAAUGUGUUUAAAGUCAUUACCCCACUUCAUCAUGAAGACAACAUUAGGUUACAUUCUGCAUUUGUACCCAAGGAGUUGGCCCACCUGGGGAUGGCUUUUUAAACAAACCCUCCCUGCUCCAGGUAUUUCCCUCCCUUUUCCCCUCCUUCACCCUUCCCGUGAGAGUCAACACUUCCAGCCCUAUGGUAGAGUGAAAUAGCCAAUUUUAGAGCCUUACCAUGAGUCUCCUGCUAGACAGGAUAAAGGAAAUGACGAGACCAGCCUGCUCAUGCAUUUAGCCAGUGCAUACAAAGUGGCUCCUAGAAGCAGAGGGGCAGCUGAUAAGCACCUGCUGUAUUUAACUGCAUCUUUAAUGUUCACAGGUCAAGCCGAAAGGGACGGCAGAGAAGUAUGGUAUGGCCAGGUGAUGGCUUGGUACCAGACACAGCAGAACCCCAUGUGGCCCCAAGCCCCACUCUCCCUAGCACCGAAGAUGUCAUCAGGAAAACUGAACAGAUCACCAAAAACAUACAGGAGCUCUUAAGAGCAGCCCAAGAAAAUAAACAUGACAGUUAUAUUCCCUGCUCAGAGAGGAUACAUGUAGCUGUUACAGAAAUGGCAGCAUUAUUCCCCAAAAAACCCAAGUCUGAUAUGGUGAGGACUUCUCUUCGUUUACUGACGUCCAGUGCCUACCGACUGCAGUCAGAGUGCAAGAAGACCCUCCCAGGGGACCCCGGCUCACCCACAGACGUCCAGCUGGUCACGCAGCAGGUCAUCCAGUGUGCGUAC
rnacentral:sRNA from 1 species